rnacentral:rRNA from 1 species
GAUGAACGCUGGCGGCGUGCCUAAUACAUGCAAGUCGAGCGAACCACUUCGGUGGUGAGCGGCGAACGGGUGAGUAACACGUAGGUGAUCUGCCCAUCAGACGGGGACAACGAUUGGAAACGAUCGCUAAUACCGGAUAGGACGAAAGUUUAAAGGUGCUUCUGGCACCGCUGAUGGAUGAGCCUGCGGCGUAUUAGCUAGUUGGUAGGGUAAAGGCCUACCAAGGCGACGAUGCGUAGCCGACCUGAGAGGGUGAACGGCCACACUGGGACUGAGACACGGCCCAGACUCCUACGGGAGGCAGCAGUAGGGAAUCUUCGGCAAUGGGCGAAAGCCUGACCGAGCAACGCCGCGUGAAUGAUGAAGGCCUUCGGGUUGUAAAAUUCUGUUAUAAGGGAAGAACGACUUUAGUAGGAAAUGGCUAGAGUGUGACGGUACCUUAUGAGAAAGCCACGGCUAACUACGUGCCAGCAGCCGCGGUAAUACGUAGGUGGCGAGCGUUAUCCGGAAUUAUUGGGCGUAAAGAGCGCGCAGGUGGUUGAUUAAGUCUGAUGUGAAAGCCCACGGCUUAACCGUGGAGGGUCAUUGGAAACUGGUCGACUUGAGUGCAGAAGAGGGAAGUGGAAUUC